AGUAACGAGUUCCAGCGCCAAGCCCUGACUUGCUGGACGGCAACCCUCUUUUCGGCGGGGUGCCUCAGGUGACUACUCGGCAAACCCGGCGACCAGCGGCCGCGGCUUGCAAGCGAGACAU
rnacentral:ncRNA from 2 species